rnacentral:rRNA from 1 species
GAUGAACGCUGGCGGCGUGCCUAAUACAUGCAAGUCGAGCGAACGGACGAGAAGCUUGCUUCUCUGUUGUUAGCGGCGGGCGGGUGAGUAACACGUGGAUAACCUACCUAUAAGACUGGGAUAACUUCGGGAAACCGGAGCUAAUCCCGUAUGAUAUUUUGAACCGCAUGGUUCAAAAGUGAAAGACGGUCUUGCUGUCUCUUAUAGAUGGAUCCGCGCUGCAUUAGGUAGUUGUUAAGGUAACGGCUUACCACGGCAACGAUGCAUAGCCGACGUGAGGGGGUGAUCGGCCACACUGGAACUGAGACAGGGUCCAGACUCCUACGGGAGGCAGCAGUAGGGAAUCUUCCGCAAUGGGCGAAAGCCUGACGGAGCAACGCCGCGUGAGUGAUGAAGGUCUUCGGAUCGUAAAACUCUGUUAUGAGGGAAGAACAUAUGUGUAAGUAACUGUGCACAUCUUGACGGUACCUAAUCAGAAAGCCACGGCUAACUACGUG